UGUAUAAUGAUGAUAACCAUGCGUGUCAGCUGACUCUGUAAACCUCUGCUGUGUUGUUGCACUGGUCGGCGUUUUGUCAGCCUGAGUAUUCAGCACAGCAGGGCUACAGAGACAUGAUCAUACUUCACUUCUGAAUACA
rnacentral:snoRNA from 11 species